AAGGGACCUCUGAGCUAUCUUGCUCAGGGGGGUUUCCCUCUCUUUCCCUUCUCUUUCUCUUCUCCCUCUUUACUCUUUCUUCUCAUGUUUACUUUCUCUGUAACCUUGGUACCUUUUUACAUUCAAUAUUCACAUGUAACUACAAUAAUUAUUUACCAGUGUUAAUAAAUUAGAAUCUGUUAAUUUUUAACCUCUACUGUGCCAUGCCUCUUUCUGCCAGGUAACAUCAAAUUGGAGUGGUUAAAUACAGUGCUCUGUGUGGAGGGAGAAAGAGUUUUUUCUACACACUCUAUUCUCUUCUCCACACCACAUGGUCUUCAUGUGUGGUUUUUUACAAAUGGUGACCCCGACGUGAUACCUUUGCUCGGAUGUGGAUCUGUGACCGAUGCUGGAGCGGUGGAGGCAGCCGAGGAGAAGCCCCACGUCUCUUGAUGGAGUUAAUGGAUCGCUGGCCUGGAUCUUCCAGCUGCAGCACUGAAUCAAGCACCCAGAUCACCUCCAGAGCCUAAUGAUGAGACCACCAGAGAGGUGCAGAUAUGGAUAUGGACUAAUGGCCCCACCACGGACCUGAGUCCCACCAACACAAAAAUGGACUUAUGACUCAUUGGCAUGGACAAUCUUAGAAAUGAUUGAAUUCCUAUACUCAUGACUCAUGUUAACAGUAACACUGCAACUUAACUACUCUGGAUGGGGGUUCCUCUCUGAAUUACUCCAUCCCAAGGUUUCUGUCAUUUUUCAUCUGUAGUGGUUGUUUAGCCCAUUGAGACAUAAUUGCUUUGGGCUAUACAAAAAUGUACUUUUGUUGGUUUGUUGAUGUAGACAUCACAAA
rnacentral:lncRNA from 1 species